ACAUAUAUCCACUGAAGUAGGCAGAAGAACAAUAGAGUAAAAUGAAAUAAUGAUUGCUAGUAUACAAGGAGGGCAAACGUUUUUUUGCUUCACACUUGCUUCUGUGUUCUUUUGUUGUU
rnacentral:ribozyme from 14 species